rnacentral:rRNA from 1 species
GCAAUACCGCGUGAGGGAAGAAAGCCUUUGGGUUGUAAACCUCUUUUCUCAAGGAAGAAACAAAUGACGGUACUUGAGGAAUCAGCAUCGGCUAACUCCGUGCCAGCAGCCGCGGUAAUACGGAGGAUGCAAGCGUUAUCCGGAAUCAUUGGGCGUAAAGCGUCCGCAGGUGGCUAAUCAAGUCUGCUGUCAAAGACUGGGGCUUAACUCCGGAAAGGCAGUGGAAACUGAGAAGCUAGAGUUCGGUAGGGGUAGAAGGAAUUCCCAGUGUAGCGGUGAAAUGCGUAGAGAUUGGGAAGAACACCAGUGGCGAAAGCGUUCUACUGGACCGAAACUGACACUAUGGACGAAAAGCUAGGGGAGCGAAAGGGAUU